AUAGAUGAUAUGUAUAUAAUAUAGCAAGUUCGUUAUGUCUACAUGAAGACUUUCUUAUAAUCUGAAAUUGAAUAAUGUCUAGGAAAAUAAGUUUAAAUCUACAUAUAUUAAUGUUGGCAAUUUUAAUUUGCUGUCAUGUAGAAGGAAGACAUAUAUCAGGUAAGACAAAUACAGACAUUGCUACUGUCAUUUGAAGUCUUCAAGAAUUUUAUAAAAGUUUUUGGUAGGUUCGAAAUAGUUGACAUUAUAAUAAAAAUGGAUUCCCUUUUGAAAUAUUUGAUACCAAAGAAAUAUUCAACAAGUAAGUUUAUCUUUUGGGAAACUGGAUACUCGUGAAAAGAUCUCAUGAAAAAUAUUCGAACUUUUCGCGGGGUGUAAGAUACUCAUGAUAAUGUGUGUUGGGGUAUUAGAUACUCGUGAAACUAUUAGAUAAAUAAAGUUAACUUUUGUUGGGGUAUUGGAUACUCCUGAAUGAUUCGAUAAAGAAGGGGAACUUUUCGCAGGGUAUAGGAUACUCAUGAAACUAUUCGAUAAAGAAGGUUAACUUUUGGUUGGGGUAUUGGAUACUCGUGAAUUGUUCGAUGAAGAAGGUUAUCAUUUGCGAGGUAUUGAAUACUCAUGAAAUGCUCGAUAAAUAAAAUUAUUUUUGGAAGGGAAUAGGAUCUACUCAUGAAACUAUUUGAUAAAGAUGGUUAACUUUUGGAGAGGUAUUGUAUACUCAUGAAUGGUCCGAUAAAGAAGGUCAACUUUUGGUUGGGGUAUUGGAUACUCGUGAAUUGUUCGAUGAAGAAGGCUUUCAUUUGCGAGGUAUUGAAAACUCAUGAAAUGCUCGAUAAGUAAAAUUAUUUUUUGGAAGGGAAUAGGAUCUACUCAUGAAACUAUUCGAUAAAGAUGGUUAACUUUUGGAGAGGUAUUGUUUACUCAUGAAUGGUCCGAUAAUUUCAAAGAAGGUCAACUUUUGUUGGGUAGUUAGAUCCUCGUGAAAUUAUUCGAUAAAAAAGUUAACUUUUAUUGGGGUAUUGGAUACUCCUGAAUGAUUCGAUAAAAAAGGUUAACGUUUGGUGGGGUAUGGGAUACUCAUACAUUAUUGGAUAAAAAAGGUUAAAUGUUCGGGAUGAUACGUUAUUAGAUAUCAAGCCGAACAGAAAAUUCUCGCUUUUGAUCUUCAAUAAAAUUAUGAAACGUUCGUUUCAAUACUCAAAAAUUUUGUUUUUGUAAUAGGUUUGUUUAAUUAACUUAGAAUACUAAAAUAAAUUUCCAGCUUUUCCAUACGCUUUUAAUCGAAGACGUUUUGGCUGCUCUGGUUAUGUACAUCUUUGUUUUUGUACUUAAAACGUUGAAUGUAUUUGAUUUCCUCGAACCUGUCUAUAUUGAUAUACGUACUGAAAUCAGAAUCAAAGAUUUCUUUAGCACAAUUUGUGUUUCCCUUUUUCAGAUUUUUUCAAGUUUGCAGGGUAUUUUCAUUCUGAUUCCUUUUCAAAUAUUAGGGUUUGAUAAUCUUUAAAAAUAAAAUUAUAUUCAAUCGAAUAUAUUUCUAGUUUAUUUAUUGAUUGUUUAUCAAUUAAUCUAACUUGAUAUAAGUACAUGUAUUCUAAGUGUUAAAAAGACCUAAACUUAUUCAACGUAAAACAUGAAAAGGCGGAAUUUUUAAAAUUCUCUCUACUAUCUGACUCUCUUGCAGUAUUUUUACUUUCUACUUUUCUUUGUGUUCUUCUUUAAAAGAGCUUCUAUUAAUAGUCGGAUCCCUAAUCUAAAAACUAUUUAAAGUCGGAUCUCUAAUCUAGUUUUUUACAUUUCAAAGUCCUAUGACUUUUAUUUCGCUUUUUAUACUGUAAUCGUGUACCUUAUCCAGACCAAAUAGCUUUGUGAUAUUUUUGUUCGUUUCAAAUUGUUUGUUCACUUGCUUGCAUGCUUUAGUCAUCAUAGAUUUUUAGCCUAUAAUAUGAAAUCAAACUGAUCUAGAAAAAUCCAAUUGCACGAGCUCGCUUCUUUUUAAAUCUUCAUUUAUGUUUAUAUCUGGUUAUAUGACCCUCGACAGUCUACGAAUGUUACCUCGAUGGUUAUUUAGAUGGCGCCUAGACUGAAGUACACACUAAAGUUCGAAUACAUAUAAUCGAGCUCAUGCAUUAAAAUUGUUUAUUUUAAAUUUGUUUAUAACUUGGUAUUCGUUUUAGUAUAUAAUAAAUAAAUAAAGAUUUUGAGUCACAUCGGUGAACAUGAUUUUGACAGCUAGUGCCACUUUAAAAUAAUAGGUCCCCUUAACAUAAAAAAAUAAUGCGGGAGAUAAAUAUGUGAGUGUGGGAGAGGUGGAAAUUUGAAGAUGUAAAGGAACCGCUUUUUAGAUUAAAAAAAAACAUUUCUUUAGACAUUCGGAAGCUUUUCUGAUUAGUCGAAUUAAACUUCCGAAGCGUUUUUUUUAUGUGAUAGUCGGUUAAAGAGCUCAUGUUUUGUCUGUUAUUAUGUAUAUAUAUGCCGACUCUUAUAUACAAAAACGAAUACCAAGUUAUAAACAAAUUCUAAAUAAAAUUUACUUACUUACUUACUACUUGUUCAAAUUCUUAAGGUUCGGUAGAAUGGCGUAAGCCACUACCCAUAACAUUCUGAAUAUAAGAUAGCGCGGUACUCUAUAGAUAUAAGAAGAUGUGGUAUGAGUGCCAAUAAGACAACUCUCUAUCAAAGUCAAUAUAUGUAUUACUAAGAUAAAAACCAGUAUAUGUCAAAGAACGGUCUUCAACACUGUAAAGGAAAAACCAUUAUGGUCAAAGUAGGGACUUCAACACUAUGUUCUAUGUUCAUAAAUAUCUAUUUAAAAUACACUUUGCAUCGUGCUUUUUUUAUCAUCAAAAUGUAAAGGAUUUUUCUUUUAAAAGAUGACAAUAGAGAGAAAGCUUGUGUUAUUCUCAUUUUCUAGAACCGGUUCGAAAGCGCUGCUUGUGGACUGUUAGUCCCCGAGGGAAUCAUCAGCUCAGUAGUCGGAGCUUUACUACUGACAUAAAGUAUUUCAUAUUUUUCUCCGGUUUUCCUCUGAUAUCUUAAGAAAUAACUAAAACCAGUAGACUCAAAUAUUCUCAUUCAAAGAUUUGUUUUAUUAUCAGUACCAAAUGAUGUAAAAGUAAGCAACUAUAGGUUUCCGUAUGGCCUUCAGCAAUGAGCAAAAUAAAUAUUGCAUGACAAUCUAUCACUUACAAGACAAACAUAAACAACCCAGAAGAGAAAACGAACUGUCUGAUUUUUUUUACAAAGCAUUAAACAAAAACGAAUAUGAUAUACAGGAGCAAACAAUCGAUGAAUUACAGGCUCCGACAUAAUAUACAGAUUACGGCUUAUUUUAUUUAUUUAUGAAAUUUAAUCAUUUUUCACAAUGUCUUGUUUGUUUGCUAUCAAAAAAAUAAUCUACUGGUAAGGAAAUGCGUUUAGCAUCAGAUUUUCUCAUUCAAAGUGUGAAAUGGGCACGAUUUAAUAAUUUCAUCUACAAUAUAUGAAAAGCUAACUAUAUUUGGAUCAAAAUUUGUCUCAUUUUCAUAAUACUUCCAUUAUAGGCGUCAAUACUUUUCCUCCUUAUAAUUACAGAGGAGGUUAACAGUUAAUUCUGUCUACAAGGAAGCCAGUGACAUCUUUAAAUAGAACUACAAUCUAUAUAUCAAAGACAUGAAUUUGGAUUGUAUUUCAAAUGAUAUGUAUCAAUUGUUUCCUUUAUAGUAGUAAUGAGGACUAAACUGUUUUAAUAGACAGAUUUAAUCAAACUGAAUGUUCCUAAUUUUCAGCCGAUUUAUACUUUCCCCGACAGGUUGAUUAUUUUUGUAUUAUCAAUUUGUAGUUUGUUUGAUCCCUGUUCUUCAUUUGUCAUAAUUAAUUAGGACGUCAAACUUUCUUGCUUUUCACUGAGUCAGUUUUAUAACUUUUAAGGCUUCCAUGCCAUAUAACAUUAAAAUAACAUUAACAAUACUCGAGUUCGAUUUACAGUUAAACUAAAGAAAUGAAUUGAAGAAGUUUCAUUUAAAACCAGUCGAAGUUGGUACAAGUAUAUUGUUUAUAGGUAUGAAUAAAUCUUAGGGAGGGAAUUGACACCAUAAUUCAUACGUUAACCUUUACAGACACUGCUUGAGGGUCGUUUGAUUAAGAAGAAGAAAUAAUUAUUAAAUUUUCAAAAAUACUGCACUGUGCAUUUAUUCCAUGUAAUAUUUAAGAAUUACAUACUGCAUUCCAGAUAGAAAAAAAAAUAUCCGUCGAGAGUGCUUAUUUUGAAUCUGAGUUUAAAUGUACUUCAAUUUCAGUAAAUUUAGUUGUAUUUAAUCAGAUAAUAAUAAGUACAAAUGUAUAUUAUUUUUCAUGGAUCGUCUUUUAGAUAAAUGAGUUUUAAAUCCUAGAUAGAAACAUACUUUUAUUCAACUAUUUAAUAAAUAAAAUCUCAUAUGAAAUAAAUUAAAUUGACUAUCCUUAUUUUGUCAUCAAACAUUUUUUUUUAUCUUAAUUACACAUCCUAUGUAGAUAAAAAUGAUGUACUAUUUUGUCGUAAAAUAUUCAACUGACUCUUAUUUUGAUUACAUAUUAAUUUGUUUGUUACCAUAUCAAUCAUGGUUAAUGUAAAAAAAAAACUACAUUGAUGUCUACUAUCACGAAUACGGAAACAGUUGAAUGCAAUUUGAAAAUCUACCUUUGCACCUAGUUAACCUAGUACUUUAAUAAUUCCUUAUUAAAAUUAUAAAUUAUAUCCAUGUCACACUUUGUAAAGGAAAAACCAUUAACGGUCAAAGUACGGUCUUCAAUACGGAACAUUGGCUCACACCGAACAGCAAGAUAUAAAGGGCCUAAAAAAUGACUAAUUUUAAGCCAUUCAAACUGGAAACCAACGGUCCAAUCUAUAUAAAAAUGAAAAAAAAUCGAGAAAAAAAACACUUAUGAACCACAUCAACAUAAGGCGAUGUAUGGCUAAUAAUUUAACAUAUUACACGAUACGGAAGCAAGACAAUUCGCCCCACAGCUAAAUCUCCUCACAAUAAAUUGCCCCACUUUUCCACCAACUCGCCCCUUUUUAACCUACUCUUCCAACGCUUGUUUACUAACUCACCGCACUUACGAAAAAGGUUAAAUCCCGAUGAAUAAAGGACCGUAACUCCUGAACGGCAAAAAUGAAAAUCGAUAACAUUACAUUUUUUCACUUCCCAACUUGGAAUGAAUUUUUAAUUCCAAUUAUCAUAAACUCUUGUAUUUACUUUAUAAAUUAAGUGUCCAGUAAGUUUUUAACUAUCAAGUUAUGUAAUUAUAUAAAAAUUGCAUGGAAUUGGGAUUCAUAAAGUUUCAUAGCUCGACGUUUGUCAUAGUACCAUACUAUUGUUCUCUGUUGUCUAUUGAUGCUUUACAUUAUGUAAUAUAUGGUGUAACUUUUGCCAUAGCAUGUCAAAGCCUUUGCAAUAAAGACUCAUUCAUCUAUGUAUUCAUUUAGUGAUAUAGAAAUGCAUUUUGUUAUCGUGGUAAAGGGAUUUCUAUCUUAUGAUAAAAAUUUCAUGACUUUUUUCAACUGAGUAUAUAAUAACACUGAUUUGUUUUUCCAUUUCAGAUAUAAUUUCUUUACAUAAAAGACAAGUACAUGGAACACAAUUCCCUUUUAGAUGUCCGCAAGGUGUUAGUCACCAUGACUGUUACGAAAGUAUGCAAAACCUGAUGUCUGUUUGGAUACGUAGGCUUAUGACUCACCCAGAAAGUUAAGACCUCAAAAGAAUUUAAAAAGGAUUAUCAAACAAAGACAUUGUCGCUUAGAACCAACCUAAACAAAGUGAUUAAAUCAUUCUUUCAGCUUUGUCUUAGAGAUUUUGGGAAUUCCAGCAGUUUAUUAGAAGUUCAAUUAACAUAAGUACUGUACUUAUUCAACUUAUGUAUAGCGAGAAGUACCAAAAUACGACCACACGUGUAAAUUGUUAUAUAAAAAUUAAGCAUGGCUGUGAUAUAUAAUUUGUUUCUUGCUAAUAAAUUUUCAGAUAGAUCUCUGGCAAUGAUAUGACUUAGAAUAACAUGUGAGCUUCAUAAGCUUUAACUGAGA
rnacentral:lncRNA from 1 species